GAGUUUGAUCCUGGCUCGAGGAUGAACGCUAGCGGCAGGCCUAAUACAUGCAAGUACGAGGGGUCAGCGCGGGGUAGCAAUACCUGGCGGCGACCGGCGCACGGGUGCGUAACACGUAUACAAUCUAGCCUUUAACAGGGGGAUAGCCCGGAGAAAUCCGGAUUAAUACCCCAUAAUAUAUUGAGUGGCAUCACUUGAUAUUGAAAGCUCCGGCGGUUAGAGAUGAGUAUGCGCCUGAUUAGUUAGUUGGUGAGGUAACGGCUCACCAAGACUUCGAUCAGUAGGGGGAUCUGAGAGGACUACCCCCA
rnacentral:rRNA from 1 species